rnacentral:ncRNA from 2 species
GAUCUAUCCAGAGUGAUGGAGGGACUGGCCCGAUGACAUCCGGCAACCUGCACAGAUUCGUUUUCUCUGUAAGGUGCUAAUUCCAGCAAAAUGGUCAACCAUUUUGAAAGAUAGGAA